UAUUGCUUUGUAAAUGGAAUGAUGGUGACCUAAACCCUCACCAGAGUAACAAUUGGAGGGCAAGUCUGGUGCCAGCAGCCGCGGUAAUUCCAGCUCCAAUAGCGUAUAUUAAACUUGUUGCAGUUAAAAAGCUCGUAGUUGAAUUUCUGCGUUAUCGAGUUAUUGACUCUUGUCUUUAAUCGAUUUCGCUUUUGGGAUUUAUCCCUUUUUACUUUGAGAAAAUUAGAGUGUUUCAAGCAGACUUUUGUCUUGAAUACUUCAGCAUGGAAUAAUAGAGUAGGACUUUGGUUCUAUUUUGUUGGUUUUUGAACCUUAGUAAUGGUUAAUAGGAACGGUUGGGGGCAUUCGUAUUUAACUGUCAGAGGUGAAAUUCUUAGAUUUGUUAAAGACGAACUACUGCGAAAGCAUUUGCCAAGGACGUUUCCAUUAAUCAAGAACGAAAGUUAGGGGAUCGAAGACGAUCAGAUACCGUCGUAGUCCUAACCAUAAACUAUGCCGACUAGGGAUGGAGGUCGUCAAUCCGAUCUUUAUUC
rnacentral:rRNA from 1 species